GACGAACGCUGGCGGCGUGCCUAAUACAUGCAAGUAGGACGGAGGUGCGAACGGGUGAGUAACGCGUAGGUAACUGCCUAUUGGAGGGGGAUAACCAUUGGAAACGAUAGCGAAUACCGCAAACUAGUAGAUGGACCUGCGGUUGAUUAGCUAGUAGGGAGGGUAAUGGCCUACCUAGGCAACGUAACAUAGCCGACCUUGGAGGGUGAUCCGCCCACCUUGGAAUGAGACAAGGCCCAGACUCCUACCGGAGGGAACAAGUGGGGAUCUUCGGCCAUGGGGGGAACCCUGACCCAGCACAGCCCCGUGGUGUGAGAAGGUUUUCGGAUCGUAAAGCUCCGUUGUUAAGGGAGCGUUACUUAACCAGAAAGGAACGGCUAACUACGUGCCAGCAGCCGCGGUAAUAC
rnacentral:rRNA from 1 species